ACAUAAAAUCAGUGCAAAAAUUUGUCAGUUGGGGUGUGAGCUGCUGGCCGUACUUAACCUGAUUUGCAUCAUGGCGUGCUGCUCAGUGAACGUUAGAGGUAGGCACAGAGCAGGGACAGCUUCCAGCAGGGGAAAGCUGUCAUACUGGCUCUUAGGACACAGUGAUAGGCAUUAGAGACAUCAUAGAAGGACAGAGAACAUGUGCAUAGCAUGAUGAGUCACAGGUGCCUUGAAGUUCUUGACGAGCUAUGUAAAUGUAUGCAUCUCCUGGCAACUCUAACUUAGCAGAGACUGGAAGGAUGGAGGUUUCAGCUGUUAAAGUCAUGCUGGCAUGCUCAUGUAUGCCUUUACUAGAAUCAUAUAGUGUACUCCUUGGACAUAACUGAGGGUUGAGAUCAACAUAAUUAGUUGGGUAUCUUGACAAACAUUAAACUGUUUUGUAAACAGUAGAUUAGAAGAAAGUGCCCCCCAUGGACACCUAUUCCCUGGAGUUUUGAUGAUUUAUUUUUGAUGAUUUAUUUUAUGAUUUAUGAAAUGGUUGAUAGACGUGAAUAUGAAUUUAUGAUAUAUAAAAUGGUUUAUGCUAUAUUAAAUGUUGAGAAGAAAGGGAAUCAGGUCUGUGAUCGUUUUAAAUCAUUCAUAAAUAUCUCCUAAUACAUUAAAGCUGCUUUAAAAUUCUUGUUUUGUUUUGUUUCUUUGUUUAAGAAAGAGAUAUAUUAGCACCACUGUGAUUUUUAGAUCUCCUUAUGAUCAGAUUCUUUGUCCCUAGUAUCACACUCAAGUACCUGAAGAAUGGAUGGAGAAUAUCAUGACAAGGAAAAAAAGGCUUAAUUAUAUAGUGCUUAAUUUGGAAAGUGGAUCUUUGUAGCCUGAGAGCAGAAUAAUUUGAUUAAUUCCACUAUCAGUAUUACGCCCUUACAUGUGUAAUCUUCAUGCAACUAUAGGUGCAGUCUGUCAAAUGGCAGGUACUGAUAAAAAUGUCAACUUCAUUAGUCAAAUAGUGUAAAAGUUCAAGGCUAGUAAUGAAUCAUUUCCAUUAUCAUCCUUCCCAUCCAUCUCUUCAAGUUUAGCAGCAAAUUAUUCUGUCUUU
ensembl:lncRNA